rnacentral:rRNA from 1 species
GAAUUCACUAGUGAUUCAGGCCUAACACAUGCAAGUCGAGCGAUUUACUUCGGUAAAGAGCGGCGGACGGGUGAGUAACGCGUGGGUAACCUGCCCUGUACACACGGAUAACAUACCGAAAGGUAUGCUAAUACGAGAUAAUAUACUUUUAUCGCAUGGUAAAAGUAUCAAAGCUUUUGCGGUACAGGAUGGACCCGCGUCUGAUUAGCUAGUUGGUAAGGUAACGGCUUACCAAGGCGACGAUCAGUAGCCGACCUGAGGGGGUGAUCGGCCACAUUGGAACUGAGACACGGUCCAAACUCCUACGGGAGGCAGCAGUGGGGAAUAUUUCAAAGGGGGCGAAAGCCUGAUGCAGCAACGCCGCGGAUUAUAAGGAGGCCUUCGGGUCGUAAAGCUCUGUCCUCAAGGAAGAUAAUGACGGUACUGAGGAG